GGAGUUUGCAAGAGGAGCUUACUUCUAUCCUUAAUGUCGCCACCUAUGUGGUAUGGCAAGCCGCAAUUGGCGAACGAGACGAAACUUCCUCUUUCGAACAUGAUGAUUUCUGCAUCUUCACUCAAGCGACGAGCACGUGCUGCGGCUGAUGCUCCACCAGCAACGCCAC
rnacentral:antisense_RNA from 1 species